rnacentral:lncRNA from 1 species
UUUAUUCACAUCUCAGGGUUAAAGGCUGACUUCCAGCUUCCUGACCUCAGAGGCCGCUUCACGAGCAUGAAGCUUCCUGCAGCCGUGACCACAGACGGCACCUGCCUCCUCGUCACAGCUUAUUAUCUGCCUUGGGUGGUUGAACCACACGUUUCCUAUUAAGAGCUUCAAAACCCUGCGAAGCAGUCACCGACAACAUGUCCGCCGCGUGGAUGCGGCUCGCAGCCGUCCUGUGCCUCAGCGGCCCGGUUCUGGCCGACCCAGAGAGCGAGGACGUCCUGUGGAGAGCGUGUGGGGAGUCCGUCACCAUCCAGUGCAGGUCGUCGGAACCGCAGCUGAAGCAUUUGGACCUGAGGAAGGGACUUAAUAAGUACGUCUCAGUUUUACAACAAUCUGCGGCCUCGGAUCAUAGGAUCGGAGGAGAAUUCACAGAGAGAGUGCAGGGGAAUGGGGCGUUCCCCAACGUGGACGUCCUCAUCAAAAACCUGACCUCAGGCGACACAGGCGUGUACCGGUGCAUGUACAGGCAGGCGAAUCAGACCGGAACCGAGGCCAAGCAAGGCAGCGGGUCGGUGCUGGUGGUGGUCAGAGGAGACAGGUGCAGGCCCGCCUGCUGCCCGGCGCCGGAGGAGCAGAGCCUGGUUCCGGUGUGGGUCAUGGUCGGCGCCGCCGCGCUCCUCACCGUCGUCAUGUGUCUGCUCAUGUGGCUCAUCAAGACCAAGACCGCGGCGCCGGCCGAGGCCACCACGUACGCCACCAUGAAGCCGGGGUCCGAGCCCGGCGGCAGCGGCGCCGACGUGUACGAGGAGAUGAGGGGGGCGCUCGGGCCUCCGCCUGCGGGCGCCAUGGGGCUCCAGGGAGCGGGUGAGGGCGACGCCGGCCUUUCUGCCUGA